rnacentral:lncRNA from 1 species
CAUGCAGUGGAUGCAGUGUCCCACAAGGCAGAUGCAAUAUGUUAUAAUGGAGGAUGCAGUGCCCAUGAAGGUGGAUGCAGUGAUCCUGCAGUCGUUGCAGUGCACCCUGCAGGGUACCUCAAUAAGAAUGCCAUGCCCUUGCCUUGGAUUCAGUACCCCACGAGGUGGAUGCAGUAUGUUAUGAUGGAUGAUGCAUUGCCCAUGAAGGAGGAUGCAGUGAUUCUGCAGUGAUUGCAGUGCACUGGCAGUGCCACUUAAGCCGGCUGCAGUGUGCCUGCAGUGGUUGCAGUGUCUCCUUCUGUGUCUCUGAAUAUGAAUGCAGUGCCCAUGCAGUGGAUGCAGAGUACCACAAGAUGGAUGUGGUAUGUUGUGACAGAGGAUGCAGUGCCCAUGAAUGUGGAUGCAGUGAUCCUUGCGUGGUUGCAGUGCGCAUGCAGUGCCACCUCAGCUGGAUGCUGUGUCCCUGCAGUCGCUGCAGUACAACCUGCACUGUCCCUGAAUUUGGAUGCAGUGCUCAUGCAGUGAUGAAGUAUGUUGUGAUGGAGGAUGCAGUGCCCAUGAAGGCAGAUGCAGUGAUCCUGCUUUGGUUUCCAUGCACACCGUAGUGUCACUUAAGGUGGAUGCAGUGAACAGGAAGUGGAUGCAGUGAACAUGAAGUGGAUGUAGUGAACAUUCAGUGAUUGUGGUGCACCUGCAGUGCCACUUCAACUGCAUACAGUGCCCCUGCAGUAGUUGCAGUGCUGCCUGCAUUGUCUGGGAAUGCGGAUGCACUGCCCAGGCAGAGUAUGCAGUGUCACACAAGUUGGAUGAAGUAUGUUUUUACAGAGGAUGCAGUGACCAUGAAGGUGGAUGCAGUUAUCCUGCAGUGGUUUCCGUACACACUGUAGUGUCCCUGAAUGUGGAUGCAGUGAACAUUAGUUGGAUGCUGUGAACAUUCUGUGAUUGCAGUGCAACUGCAGUGCCACUUCAGCUGCAUACAGUGUGCCCGCAGUGUUUGCAGUGCUGCCUGCAUUGUCCGGGACUGUGGAUGCAGUGUCCAGGCAGUGUAUACAGUGUCACACAAAGU